rnacentral:rRNA from 1 species
CGAAUGACUCUCGGCAAUGGAUAUCUUGGCUCUUGCAUCGAUGAAGAACGUAGUGAAAUGCGAUACUUGGUGUGAAUUGCAGAAUCUCGUGAACCAUUGAGUCUUUGAACGCAAGUUGUGCCCGAGGCCUUGCGGUCGAGGGCACGCCUGCUUGGGCGUCAUCG